rnacentral:lncRNA from 1 species
UUCAGAUCUCAUUCUCCAAUUUAAAUUAAGGCUUUCUGACUCCUAAUGAGAAGAUGAUCAUAUAAUUCAUAGCAUAAUAUAAUAUGAUAAUAUAAUUAAUAAUACAAAAUAACAUAAUAACAAUAAUAAUAAUAGAAUACUAUAAUUCAUAGAAUGUGAAAUCUGGAAAGGGAUAGCCACUAACCCAACCCUCCUUGUUUUAUAGAUGAGGAAACUGAAGUACAGAGACCUAAGUAACCUGACCAAGGUCACACAGUUGGAAAUUAGCAAAACCAGUGCUCUUUCCAGUGUAUCAUGCUACCAUCAUUAAAGAUGUUCAACAUAUGUGUACAUACAUUCAGCAGGAUUCUUCUCUUCACUUCCGGAAAUAUACAUUCCCUCACUCCAGAGGAAAGAUGCUACUCUUCUUUACUUCAUCCUGAGUUCUAUCAACCAGCCUCAUGGAAGAAUGGAAGAGAACUCUUUAGUGGAAACAAGAAACUGGGGCCUGGUACACCGAUAGGCUUUGUGACCUACUCAUCGAUUGCCAACCUGGGAAUGGGAACUUUCUAUUACAGCUGCUUGCCUUCCUGAGGUAAGGCUAAGCCUUAACCUGCUACAUUUAAUUGGACCCAAAAGGAACAUUUGCUUGUUCUGAUUUGCCCAUCUGAGUGGUGGGACUGAAUCUGUGCUUUGUAGAUAGAGGUAACUCCUGAUAAAGAAGAAACCUUUAUUAAUGCAGAGCAGGUGCCCAUGCUGUAUCUUAUAAGCUUAGAGAAAGGGUUCUUUAUUUAUUUUGUGUGUAUGUCAUGGACCCCUUUGACAGUCUGGUGAAACUUAUGGACUUCUUAGAAUGUUUUAGAAUAUUAAUGUAUAAAAUAAUAUACAAGGGCAGCUAGGUGGUGCAGUGGAUAGAGCUCUGGCCUUGGAGUCAGGAGGACCUGAGUUCAAAUGCGGCCUCAGACACUGACACUUAAUAUCUGUGUGACCCUGGGUAAGUCACUUAACCCUGAUUGCCUCACCAAAAAACUAAACAAAAAGAUAAAAUAAUAUACAAAUAGUUACAAAAGAGACUAAUUUUAUUAAAAUACAGUUAUAAAACCAUAUUUUAAAGAAAAGUUCCAAACAUAUUUUAGGGAGUUACCUGGAGUGUUGAAAGGCCAAAUGAUUUCCCCAGUGUGUGUGUGUGUG